UACAGAGGUCUCAAGCGUUGUUCGGAUUCAUUGGGCGUAAAGGGUGCGUAGGCGGCGCGGUAAGUCGGGUGUGAAAUCUCGGAGCUUAACUCCGAAACUGCAUUCGAUACUGCCGUGCUUGAGGACUGGAGAGGAGACUGGAAUUUACGGUGUAGCGGUGAAAUGCGUAGAUAUCGUAAGGAAGACCAGUGGCGAAGGCGGGUCUCCUGGGACAGUAACUGACGCUGGAGGAGCGAAAGCGUGGGGAGCGAACAGG
rnacentral:rRNA from 1 species